UACGGAGGGGGCUAGCGUUGUUCGGAAUUACUGGGCGUAAAGCGCACGUAGGCGGCUUUGCAAGUUAGAGGUGAAAGCCCGGGGCUCAACUCCGGAAUUGCCUUUAAAACUGCAUCGCUAGAAUUGUGGAGAGGUAAGUGGAAUUCCGAGUGUAGAGGUGAAAUUCGUAGAUAUUGGGAAGAACACCGGUGGCGAAGGCGGCCAUCUGGACCGUAACUGACGCUGAGGCGCGAAAGCGUGGGGAGCAAACAGG
rnacentral:rRNA from 1 species